rnacentral:rRNA from 1 species
UACGGAGGGUGCAAGCGUUGUCCGGAAUCACUGGGCGUAAAGGGCGCGUAGGCGGGCGGGCAAGUCUGCGGUGAAAGCCUCCAGCUCAACUGGAGAAGUGCCGUGGAUACUGCUCAUCUUGAGGAGGGUAGGGGCGUCUGGAACGUUGGGUGGAGCGGUGAAAUGCGUUGAUAUCCAACGGAACUCCGGUGGCGAAGGCGAGGCGCUGGACCCUUUCUGACGCUGAUGCGCGAAAGCCAGGGGAGCGAACGGG